AUGCUGAAUUCUUCAUUAAGAACCUCAAAGAGACAUGGCACCGUCACUAUGAACACUCAAAGGUCUAGGUCAGGCAUUUCCCGACUGAGUAUGUGGCGACUGCGAAGCAAGGGAACACGACGGACUGUGGCUUUCACGCGCUGGAGUACCUUGCGAAGUGGGAAGGCAAAAUUGCCCCCGCUAUCACAGCUGCAACGGUCGUUGAGCUCCGGAAAAUCCACACAUGGAACUGGUUGA
rnacentral:rRNA from 1 species